GCUGGCGGCGUGCCUAAUACAUGCAAGUCGAGCGAACGGACGAGAAGCUUGCUUCUCUGAUGUUAGCGGCGGACGGGUGAGUAACACGUGGAUAACCUACCUAUAAGACUGGGAUAACUUCGGGAAACCGGAGCUAAUACCGGAUAAUAUUUUGAACCGCAUGGUUCAAAAGUGAAAGACGGUCUUGCUGUCACUUAUAGAUGGAUCCGCGCUGCAUUAGCUAGUUGGUAAGGUAACGGCUUACCAAGGCAACGAUGCAUAGCCGACCUGAGAGGGUGAUCGGCCACACUGGAACUGAGACACGGUCCAGACUCCUACGGGAGGCAGCAGUAGGGAAUCUUCCGCAAUGGGCGAAAGCCUGACGGAGCAACGCCGCGUGAGUGAUGAAGGUCUUCGGAUCGUAAAACUCUGUUAUUAGGGAAGAACAUAUGUGUAAGUAACUGUGCACAUCUUGACGGUACCUAAUCAGAAAGCCACGGCUAACUACGUGCCAGCAGCCGCGGUAAUACGUAGGUGGCAAGCGUUAUCCGGAAUUAUUGGGCGUAAAGCGCGCGUAGGCGGUUUUUUAAGUCUGAUGUGAAAGCCCACGGCUCAACCGUGGAGGGUCAUUGGAAACUGGAAAACUUGAGUGCAGAAGAGGAAAGUGGAAUUCCAUGUGUAGCGGUGAAAUGCGCAGAGAUAUGGAGGAACACCAGUGGCGAAGGCGACUUUCUGGUCUGUAACUGACGCUGAUGUGCGAAAGCGUGGGGA
rnacentral:rRNA from 1 species